GACGAACGCUGGCGGCGUGCUUAACACAUGCAAGUUGAACGGAAAGGCCCUGCUUUUGUGGGGUGCUCGAGUGGCGAACGGGUGAGUAACACGUGAGUAACCUGCCCUUGACUUUGGGAUAGCUUCAGGAAACUGGGGCUAAUACCGGAUAGGAGCUCCUGCUGCAUGGUGGGGGUUGGAAAGUUUCGGCGGUUGGGGAUGGACUCGCGGCUUAUCAGCUUGUUGGUGGGGUAGUGGCUUACCAAGGCUUUGACGGGUAGCCGGCCUGAGAGGGUGACCGGCCACAUUGGGACUGAGAUACGGCCCAGACUCCUACGGGAGGCAGCAGUGGGGAAUAUUGCACAAUGGGCGGAAGCCUGAUGCAGCAACGCCGCGUGCGGGAUGACGGCCUUCGGGUUGUAAACCGCUUUCGCCUGUGACGAAGCGUGAGUGACGGUAAUGGGUAAAGAAGCACCGGCUAACUACGUG
rnacentral:rRNA from 1 species